CCGGUUGUUCCAUCAACCGUUCCCUACCCAGACACGCGGUGCCGGUAAUGGCGCGGUGUGAAGCUCUGGGGACAAUGUAACUGCCGAUAGUUUUCGGUACGCCGACCCCCGAGGAAAAGCGGAAUCUGCCAGCACAAAGGUGGUGAGGGC
rfam:Candidatus Burkholderia humilis strain TZHbot5 BHTMctg41, whole genome shotgun sequence.